AGGACGAACGCUGGCGGCGUGCUUAACACAUGCAAGUCGAGCGGAAAGGCCCUUCGGGGUACUCGAGCGGCGAACGGGUGAGUAACACGUGAGCAAUCUGCCCUUAGCUUCGGGAUAGCUCCGGGAAACCGGAAUUAAUACCGGAUAUGACUAUGGCUGACAUCAGCCACGGUGAAAGUUUUCGGCUAGGGAUGAGCUCGCGGCCUAUCAGCUAGUUGGUGGGGUAACGGCCUACCAAGGCGACGACGGGUA
rnacentral:rRNA from 1 species